rnacentral:rRNA from 1 species
UACGGGGGGAGCAAGCGUUGUUCGGAUUUACUGGGCGUAAAGGGCGCGUAGGCGGCCAGCACAAGUCAGUUGUGAAAUCUCCGAGCUUAACUCGGAAAGGUCAACUGAUACUGUGCGGCUAGAGUGCGGAAGGGGCAACUGGAAUUCUUGGUGUAGCGGUGAAAUGCGUAGAUAUCAAGAGGAACACCUGCGGCGAAGGCGGGUUGCUGGGCCGACACUGACGCUGAGGAGCGAAAGCGUGGGGAGCAAACAGG